rnacentral:rRNA from 1 species
AUGUGCAGAGUACUCGGUGCUGACUACAAGAAGAGGUUAUCUGAGAUGGGUUGCAUGUCUGAUGACGAUGUUGACAUGGACCGACUAUACAAAGAAAUGGAUCUUCUGGAUGUGACCAUCAAUUCCAACUACAAGAAGCUCAAAGAUGUCGGUAGCGAGUUGUUUCUGGAGUGGGGGCGUGCAGAUACCCUGCUCAAGAACAUGUUGAAGUUCUCCUAUGUUAUAUCUGUCCAUGAUUCCACCACACCUGCUGAGAUUGACGAACCUCAUUUCCUUGAUACCUUGUGGGUCAAAAAGGCCCGGACAGAGCUAGAUGACAGGAGAAAGGAUGCGAAGAAGGAAUACCAGAAGCAGAAGGAGAAGCUGAAGGGAAUGAUUCAUGAAAGUCGCCUAACCUAUGAUUUUGUGGGAUUCAAUCCCAAAGAAAAAGUGGACCCUAAGAACUAUUAUCAGGAGACAUGCAAGGUUCUGAAGCAGAUUGAAAAGAUUCGAGAGCUAUCUGUCAGCCGAAAGGAGAUGGUCUACCGAAUGGAAAGGGUCCAAAUGGCCAUUGCUCAAAACAAACUUCCGACACCCAAAAUAAGGGAUCUCAAGGAAUUGGCGAUGAAUCAUGUGAAGAAGAUAAGUGUUAAGGGUCAACCAAUUAUAUACUCCCUUCGUUCGGAAUUACUUGUCGCGGAAAUGGAUGUAUCUAGACGUAUUUUAGUUCUACAUACAUCCAUUUCCGAGACAAGUAAUUCCGAACGGAGGGAGUACAAUGGAGAGGAUAUUAGUACCGCAUUCGAUAACCUUGAGUCUGAAAUUGAUGCUCUUGAAGAACAGCAUGAGCAGCAACUUGAGAAGGAAGCAAGAAUGUUGAAAACACGGACCCGAUCUGGCGGGGCAUCUCUGUCUGUUUCGUCGGAGUCGGAUUCGGAUUGA